rnacentral:rRNA from 1 species
GCUAACUACGUGCCAGCAGCCGCGGUAAAACGUAGGAGGCGAGCGUUAUCCGGAUUUACUGGGUGUAAAGCGCGUGCAGGCGGUUCGUUAAGUUGGAUGUGAAAGCUCCCGGCUCAACUGGGAGAGGUCGUACAAGACUGGCGGACUGGAGUGUGGUAAGGGAAGGUGGAAUUCCGGGUGUAGUGGUGAAAUGCGUAGAUAUCCGGAGGAACACCAGUGGCGAAGGCGGCCUUCUGGACCACGACUGACGCUCAGACGCGAAAGCUAGGGUAGCAAACGGGAUUAGAUACCCUUGUAGUC